GGAAGCGUAUCGAAGAGGCCAUAACGAGAACGACUCGAAAUCGUUUGGUCGGCUAGAAACCGGCCCGUGGGUUCGAAUCCCACCGCUUCCGCCA
rnacentral:tRNA from 1 species